rnacentral:rRNA from 1 species
UACGGAGGAUGCGAGCGUUAUCCGGAUUUAUUGGGUUUAAAGGGUGCGUAGGCGGAUCGUUAAGUCAGUGGUCAAAUUGAGGGGCUCAACCCCUUCCCGCCAUUGAAACUGGCGAUCUUGAGUGGAAGAGAAGUAUGCGGAAUGCGUGGUGUAGCGGUGAAAUGCAUAGAUAUCACGCAGAACCCCGAUUGCGAAGGCAGCAUGCCGGCUUCCUACUGAUGCUGAAGCACGAAAGCGUGGGGAUCGAACAGG